rnacentral:lncRNA from 1 species
CAGAAGGAACAUUUUGAAUACAUCUCCAAGCAGCAAUCCCUCUAGCCUGCAAUGCAGGCUGUCUAUGGUGGGAUCUACAAGAUGAUAUCAAAAUUUCCUGAGAAUUCUGGGUAGCUAAGACUUAAAAAUAACACCCCAGCCCUCUUUCUGUGACAAGCCUUGGAAAAACUGAACAGAGGCUGGGCUGGAGGAAGCUCCAUGAGCCAUGUCCCAAGGCUAGGUCUGUGAGGAAGUUAGAGAGAGAACAGCCAGUACUAGCUCUUCCUCCUCCUGCUGCCGCCGAGGCUCCUGUUUUCUCAGCCACCUCCAGCAGUUCCUCUUUUCAGCUGUGGCUCGGGUGAGAAUUAUGGAAUUGCUUGGGAAUCGUGCUGCUGUUUAUUAUUUUUUUCUUUUCUUCUGUCUCCAAAUUACAAUUCCAUCUUCAACCCACUGGGGUAGAUUUGCCUCAGGAGAGGUUCCAUUUGUCUUGUUCAGAUUUUCUUUCCCAGUGAGCAUAGCUGCCUAUUACCAUUGGUGCAGGUAAUGCUGGAAGGACAUUUCCGAGCAGCUUCGGGUGUGGAGGAGAAUUGAGUUCUGUGGCUACAACUGGCUCAGCCUAAGGAAACAGGGGAACCCAGACCACAGACUCGGGGCCUCUGGGUCAACCAGGACAUGAAGAAAGGCCCUGCCCCUGAGUGGAAUGGAGGACCAGGACCUGGACAGACAUGAGAUGUCAUUUUUAGCAGGAGCCACCUCUACUCGGCUCCAGGUGGUUGUGUGGACAUAGGGUAAGUGUGGUUCCCAGUCACUCACGAGAAGCUGAAAACCUGGAUUUUUAGAAAGUGAAAGCAAAAAAGCAGAGUUAGGCGGUGAGGUGGGUUAAAUACUUCACCAUAAAAAGUUCCAGAAACUUGGAUCUGAAUGGGGGCCUUUGAAAUAUUUCAGCCUGACCUUUUCAUGUACAGAUGAGAAAACUGUGAUCCAGACCUGGCCAGUGACUUGCUAAGGGUCACACAGCUAAGUAACAGCAAAGGUAGAACGCAGGGCUCCAGUCCCUGCCAUGAUUCCCCAACUUGGAUCUAGUAAUGCUCUCUAUAGAUGAGACGACAGCCUUCUCAGCUUCUCGGUCCAUGGGACUAUAAAAUGGAAUGUUGGGCUUGGCACAUCACAAUGCAAUUGUCUAUUUACAAGUUUAUUCCCAGUCUCCAAUGGAGGUGAAUGCCCCAAGGAUGGGGACCAUGACUUCCUCAUCUUUGUCACUGGGUACCUUCCACAAGGCCUGACACAUAGCAGAUCUUCAGGUGCAAGAGAUUCAGACUCUUUGUGCUCUCCUUCAGCAAGGCACAGGUUGAACUCAGGAAAAGUAAGUCAGAGAUUAAAUAAAUGUCUUCAUAUAAAGGUGUGAGUUUACAAAGAAGAAUCAAAUGAGGAACCCAAGCAACUGUUGCUUUCACAUAACUUGGAGGUUUCUAAGGCAGUGUUUCUCAAUGUCAAGAUGUCACGUUUCAAAAGACAACCUGAAUUCUCAGAUGAUUUCAAUGCAAGAUUAAUUUUCACUUGCCUCCAUUUUACAAAUAAAUAAAUGCCAUACUCUCCUCCUCCUCCUUCUCCUCCUCCUUCUUCUUCUCCUUUCUUCUCCUUCUCUUCCUUCUCCUUUUCUUUCUUCUCCUUCUGCCAUAAAGGAGGCUUUAUUGGCCUGCUGUGAACAGAACACUCUCAAGUAAAUAAAGUCUCACUUUGCCCUCGGAUAGGAGAUUAUUUUGAAGUUCAGGUUCAAUAGUUUCAGAAAACACAUAUGUUUGUGUCUAGUUCGAACUGGUUUGGUAGGUAUUUAAGAAAAAACAUUAGUUCAAUUCAGAGUUCAGUCAAAAAAUAAUAAUACUUGGAUUCGGUUUCGGGUUCAGUGAAUCAGGGCAGUGUUUUCCAAUUUGGGGGUCAUGGUUCGGUUCAGUUCAAGUUCUUGUUAGAACAGCCCAGCAUGGGGCUUGGCCCCUGGGACACGGCCAGCCUGGCCCACCA